rnacentral:tRNA from 1 species
CGUGGCGGAAUGGGCAGACGCAAGGGACUUAAAAUCCCUCGACCGAUCCCGGUCAUGUGGGUUCGAGUCCCACCGCCGGCACCA